AACGAACGCUGGCGGCAUGCCUAACACAUGCCAGUCGAACGAGACCUUCGGGUCUAGUGGCGCACGGGUGCGUAACGCGUUGGAACCUGCCCUUAGGUUCGGAAUAACUCCCCGAAAGGGGUGCUAAUACCGGAUAAUGUCUUCGGACCAAAGAUUUAUCGCCUUUGGAUGGGCCCGCGUUGGAUUAGCUAGUUGGUAGGGUAAAAGCCUACCAAGGCGACGAUCCAUAGCUGGUCUGAGAGGAUGAUCAGCCACACUGGGACUGAGACACGGCCCAGACUACUACGGGAGGCAGCAGUGGGGAAUAUUGGAAAAUGGGCGAAAGCCUGAUCAAGCAAUGACGCGUGAGUGAUGAAGGCAUUAGGGUUGUAAAGCUCUUUUACCCGGGAUGAUAAUGACAGUACCGGGAGAAUAAGCUCCGGCUAACUCCGUG
rnacentral:rRNA from 1 species